GUGGGGAAUAUUGGACAAUGGGCGGAAGCCUGAUCCAGCCAUGCCGCGUGUGUGAAGAAGGCCUUUUGGUUGUAAAGCACUUUAAGCGAGGAGGAGGCUCUUAAGGUUAAUACCCUUGAUGAGUGGACGUUACUCGCAGAAUAAGCACCGGCUAACUCUGUGCCAGCAGCCGCGGUAAUACAGAGGGUGCGAGCGUUAAUCGGAUUUACUGGGCGUAAAGCGUGCGUAGGCGGCUGAUUAAGUCGGAUGUGAAAUCCCUGAGCUUAACUUAGGAAUUGCAUUCGAUACUGGUCAGCUAGAGUAUGGGAGAGGAUGGUAGAAUUCCAGGUGUAGCGGUGAAAUGCGUAGAGAUCUGGAGGAAUACCGAUGGCGAAGGCAGCCAUCUGGCCUAAUACUGACGCUGAGGUACGAAAGCAUGGGGAGCAAACAGGAUUAGAUACCCUUGUAGUCC
rnacentral:rRNA from 1 species